CGAGUUUACAACUCCCAAACCCCUGUGAACAUACCUUAAUGUUGCCUCGGCGGAUCAGCCCGCGCCCCGUAAAACGGGACGGCCCGCCAGAGGACCCAAACUCUAAUGUUUCUUAUUGUAACUUCUGAGUAAAACAAACAAAUAAAUCAAAACUUUCAACAACGGAUCUCUUGGUUCUGGCAUCGAUGAAGAACGCAGCAAAAUGCGAUAAGUAAUGUGAAUUGCAGAAUUCAGUGAAUCAUCGAAUCUUUGAACGCACAUUGCGCCCGCUGGUAUUCCGGCGGGCAUGCCUGUUCGAGCGUCAUUUCAACCCUCAAGCCCCCGGGUUUGGUGUUGGGGAUCGGCUCUGCCUUCUGGCGGCGCCGCCCCCGAAAUACAUUGGCGGUCUCGCUGCAGCCUCCAUUGCGUAGUAGCUAACACCUCGCAACUGGAACGCGGCGCGGCCAUGCCGUAAAACCCCAACUUCUGAAUGUUGACCUCGGAUCAGGUAGGAAUACCCGCUGAACUUAAGCAUA
rnacentral:rRNA from 1 species